UACGGGGGGGGAGCAAGCGUUGUUCGGAUUUACUGGGCGUAAAGGGCGCGUAGGCGGCCACCGCAAGUCGACUGUGAAAUCUCUGGGCUUAACCCAGAAAGGUCAGCCGAUACUGCGGGGCUAGAGUGCAGAAGGGGCAACUGGAAUUCUCGGUGUAGCGGUGAAAUGCGUAGAUAUCGAGAGGAACACCUGCGGCGAAGGCGGGUUGCUGGGCUGACACUGACGCUGAGGCGCGAAAGCUAGGGGAGCGAACGGG
rnacentral:rRNA from 1 species